AUACAAACGUACAAAUAACAAAGGCGUCUUGAGAUUAGUGAAAGCAACGAGGAAAUUAAUUCAUUGAAGACAUAGUAAUACUAAAAAUUCUUACUUCUUUGUAGUUUGUUAUAUUGCGUUCAAGGAGUUGUGAUUGCGUACAGUAGGCUGUACAGAUCAACACUCAAAGACCAGUUCGAAUAUGUGCUGUUCUUAUUUCAGAAAUACAUUUUGCGUGAUUUAUGUCUAAAAGGAAAGAACUCAUGGUGGUAUUUGAAGGCGCUGCCGUAAAAGGCAUUAUGAAUAGGCGUUUGCCACAUUCCGCUACCCGCAACGUCUUGUGGCGACGUUCACUGCAGCAUUAGUAUGCCAAGGCGGCGCAUCAUACAUAUUCUAUUUCGCAUCGCUUUGUGCUUCGUAUUUGAGUCUCAGUGUUGAAAAGAAUUUCAAUGAUCUUUCGGGACCACAGUCCGAACGAAGCCCAAGGUGCACAACAAGUGUGAGAACUUCUUGCUGCUACAUGUGGAUCGCUGGUUCCCUUUCUGGACUGGUAUACAAAAAAACUGGACUGCUAUUUGUUUUUCAUCAUAUAUUUUUAUGGGUUGGCGAUGUGCACUAGAAAUUCGUGAACUGACCAUAACAAGUGAUAUGCAGAUGUAAUGGAUAGUAACGAAAAACAUUUAAGAGUUGACUUCUGAAUCUCGCAAGUUUUGUAACACUCCAGGGCAAUGAGUUAUGCAGUCACUGUUAUAUUUACAGUGUUGGUUCUAAAUUGCUUGGGCUAUAUCUCAACAGAAGAGACUUCACUUAUGAGAUCAAAACCUGCAGGUACUCAUUACAAGCUGCAUACAUUGCAUUCCCUGGUCAGCCAGUACCUGAAACAUGCUUCCAAAUUCAGCACAACAGUAGACUUUACUGUCCCACUUUUCUCAUUUAAGUUUCCUCUUGGUGAACAAAACAGUAGUACAGCUAUCAUUCAGCAAAAUUUGAUUGGGCAAUUGAUUUAUUUUUUUAUUACUGCAAUUUCAUUUAUUGCAUCAAUUUCUGUACCCUAUUUUAUUAACAAAGUGAAACAAAAUGAAGAUACACCAAAAUUACAACUAGAAAUAGAUUACUGUAAUAAAAAGUAUCAUAACCACUAUAUGUGGCAAUUAUUAUGUGAAAUCAAUGAAAAUGUGGUAAAGCACAACAGAAUUCCAACAGCAGAAUCUUAUACAUAAACAGAGUAUACUUUCAGAAUCUAACUGUGCUGAUUUUGAAUUUGUGGUACUUUAAUGAAAAAGGAGGUUACUGAUGAUUUCUAGCUGCAUUUCUGAAAUAAUGAAAUGAACCAGUUCUUGAACGGUAUAUCUGUGGCGUUGACAUUGGAAUUGGUGACCCCUUUUAAAAAUUGUAUAUCUUGUAUUGUAUCAGUAAAAUAAUUGCCUUAAAACAUGCUGUAAAUUUGUUUGCAACCUGUUUUCAAGUGCAUGUAUACUAAAGCCACAGAAAACAAACCUGUAUGUAUAAAUUAAGAAAUUACCCUAUGUAUUCUCGAAUUAUUUGCUACAGAUAUGACUGACACAUUAAAGUGCUCUGAAUGAUGUUCUAUCAUGGGCAAAAGAAUAGGUUUUAAUUGAGAAAUGGCUGACUCUAUUGUUUUCAACUGUUUAGAAAGGGGACACUUAAAUUUUAAUUAUGUUAAUAUAAAUAAACAUUGUGGGCAUUUCUAAGAAAACUUUGACUAUUUACAGCCAGUACGUUUUCUUUUAUGAAGUGAAAACAUUCCAGGAAUGCAGGAAGAAAAUUUCUCAAGCCGGCACAGACAUGGCUCUGAAAUCAAUUAAAAUUUGUUUAUGUUAUUUUCUUGCAUGUUGCUCAAUAUUUUAAAUCUGUGGUAAAGAUUUUUACUAAAGUGCUUUAAGUAAUCAAGUUAUGUGUGAAUAAACAUGGAUACUGUUA